rnacentral:rRNA from 1 species
ACUCAAAGGAAUUGACGGGGGUCCGCACAAGCGGUGGAGUAUGUGGUUUAAUUCGAUGAUACGCGAGGAACCUUACCUGGGCUAGAAUGCUAUUGGACCGCUAGUGAAAGCUAGUUUCCCGCAAGGGCCGAUAGUAAGGUGCUGCAUGGCCGUCGUCAGCUCGUGCCGUGAGGUGUUGGGUUAAGUCCCGCAACGAGCGCAACCCCCAUCUUCAGUUACCAGCACGUCAUGGUGGGAACUCUGGAGAAACUGCCGUCGUAAGACGCGAGGAAGGAGGGGAUGAUGUCAGGUCAUCAUGGCCUUUAUGCCCAGGGCUACACACGUACUACAAUGGGGAGGACAAAGGGCAGCUACCUGGCGACAGGAUGCGAAUCUCAAAAACCUCUUCUCAGUUCAGAUUGGAGUCUGCAACUCGACUCCAUGAAGCUGGAAUCGCUAGUAAUCGCGCAUCAGCAAUGGCGCGGUGAAUACGUUCCCGGACCUUGUACACACCGCCCGU